AUUGAACGCUGGCGGCAGGCCUAACACAUGCAAGUCGAGCGAGUGGCGGACGGGUGAGUAAUGUCUGGGGAUCUGCCCGAUGGAGGGGGAUAACUACUGGAAACGGUGGCUAAUACCGCAUACCAUCGGAUGAACCCAGAUGGGAUUAGCUAGUAGGUGGGGUAAAGGCUCACCUAGGCGACGAUCCCUAGCUGGUCUGAGAGGAUGAAAAGCCACACUGGGACUGAGACACGGCCCAGACUCCGCCGGGAGGCAGCAGUGGGGAAUAUUGCACAAUGGGCGCAAGCCUGAUGCAGCCAUGCCGCGUGUAUGAAGAAGGCCUUAGGGUUGUAAAGUACUUUCAGCGGGGAGGCGUUACCCGCAGAAGAAGCACCGGCUAACUCCGUGCCAGCAGCCGCGGUAAUUC
rnacentral:rRNA from 1 species